UUCGAUGAUACGCGACGGAACUUACCUGGGCUUAAAUGUAGAGUGCUAUUUUUAGAGAUAGAAAGUUACUUCGGUACAUCGGUGACAGGUGGUGCAUGGUUGUCGUCAGCUCGUGUCGUGAGAUGUUGGGUUAAGUCCCGCAACGAGCGCAACCCCUAUUGUUAGUUGCCAUCAUUCAGUUGGGCACUCUAGCGAGACUGCCGGUAAUAAACCGGAGGAAGUGGGGAUGACGUCAAAUCAUCAUGCCCCUUAUGACCUGGGCUACACACGUGCUACAAUGGUUGGUACAACGAGUUGCGAGUCGGUGACGGCGAGCUAAUCUCUUAAAGCCAAUCUCAGUUCGGAUUGUAGGCUGCAACUCGCCUACAUGAAGUCGGAAUCGCUAGUAAUCGCGGAUCAGCACGCCGCGGUGAAUACGUUCCCGGGCCUU
rnacentral:rRNA from 1 species